rnacentral:rRNA from 1 species
UACAGAGGUCCCGAGCGUUGUUCGGAUUCAUUGGGCGUAAAGGGUGCGUAGGCGGCUUCCUAAGUUUGAUGUGAAAUCCUGGGGCUCAACCCUGGAACUGCAUUGAAUACUGGGAGGCUAGAGUACUGGAGAGGAAACUGGAAUUUACGGUGUAGCAGUGAAAAUGCGUAGAGAUCGUAAGGAAGACCAGUGGCGAAGGCGAGUUUCUGGACAGUUACUGACGGCUGAGGCACGAAGGCCAGGGGAGCAAACAGG